UCUUGCGAGAAUUGUUUGAAAGCUUUGGCGGUAGCCUAGUCGUGCAGGCGCCAGGGCGGUCUCCCAGGAUUUUGCGGAGACUGGGGACCUGGGCUUUGGGGCGAUUCCCAGUGCUCAUCCAGGCGCCAUGGGAGCAGAGAAGAAGCUGCUGCCGGUCAAGGAGGCCUUUCGCCUGUCUCAGCAAGCACACCAGAACCAGGCGAAGCUGGUGGUGGCGCUGAGCCGCACCUACCGCACGGCGGAUGAUAAAGCAGUUUUUCAUGAAGAGUUCGUACGUUGCCUUAAAUAUGCGAUGGUGAUCUAUAAGCGUGAACCAGCGGUGGAGAGGGUCAUAGAAUUUGCAGCAAAGUUUGUUACUUCAUUUCAUCAGUCUGAUGUGGAAGACGAUGAGGAUGAGAAAGAUGGUGGCAUUUUAAAUUAUUUGUUUACUUUUCUCUUAAAGGUACUGUGAAAAGUUCCAUGAAAUGUCUGAAUGUUUUAUAGGAAAUCUUUACGUGUCGUUAAA
rnacentral:lncRNA from 1 species